UACGGGGGGAGCAAGCGUUGUUCGGAUUUACUGGGCGUAAAGGGCGCGUAGGCGGUCAGCACAAGUCAGUUGUGAAAUCUCCGGGCUUAACUCGGAAAGGUCAACUGAUACUGUGCGACUAGAGUGCGGAAGGGGCAACUGGAAUUCUCGGUGUAGCGGUGAAAUGCGUAGAUAUCGAGAGGAACACCAGUGGCGAAGGCGGUUAGCUGGCCUGUAACUGACACUGAGGCGCGAAGGCUAGGGGAGCGAACAGG
rnacentral:rRNA from 1 species